rnacentral:ncRNA from 2 species
AGGGGAAGCCGGUGUGAGUCCGGCGCUGCCCCGCAACGGUGAGCGGCGGCGCCCCGACGCGCCCCCGCACAGCCCGAUCGCCU